rnacentral:rRNA from 1 species
CCUACGGGAGGCAGCAGUGGGGAAUAUUGGGCAAUGGGCGCAAGCCUGACCCAGCAACGCCGCGUGAAGGAAGAAGGCUUUCGGGUUGUAAACUUCUUUUCUGAGGGACGAAGAAAGUGACGGUACCUCAGGAAUAAGCCACGGCUAACUACGUGCCAGCAGCCGCGGUAAUACGUAGGUGGCAAGCGUUAUCCGGAUUUAUUGGGUGUAAAGGGCGUGUAGGCGGGAAAGCAAGUCAGAUGUGAAAACUCAGGGCUCAACCCUGAGCCUGCAUUUGAAACUGUUUUUCUUGAGUACCGGAGAGGUCAUCGGAAUUCCUUGUGUAGCGGUGAAAUGCGUAGAUAUAAGGAAGAACACCAGUGGCGAAGGCGGAUGACUGGACGGCAACUGACGGUGAGGCGCGAAAGCGUGGGGAGCAAACAGGAUUAGAUACCCUUGUAGUC